CCGCCUGACAUGACGAGACACAGUGGGUCGCGGAAAAGACGUGACUUACUAACUACGCAUAUAGGUAUGCUCUUACUCUUACUCUUUUGUUCGCGUCCAGUAAUACAAUAAAUACAGAUAUUUAGAUUUUAAAAGUAGUUUUAGGCUUUUCCGUUCAUUUCAUACAUCUUAAUUUAUCAACGUGUAUCGAGCAUUUUCAUCUUUCUUUUAUCAUGAUUAUUUUCUGAUCAAAACGCAAAAUUGAAGUCUUAAUGCUGUUGCUCCUAACAUUGGACAACCUGAGCAUCGCGUUGCUGUUUGGAAUGUAUUUGGUCCCCCUAACUUAAUGAAGCUUUACACUUCGCGGGCCUGGAGCCUCGGGACUGACAUGUGUCAUAUGCAUUUGCCUGACAAGUACUUGGACAGUUUCUCCCGCUUUCCGGACCACUCCGUGAGCUCCUCUAUACUUUCGUCUUCCGAAAAUUCGACGAACAAAAUGUUAGUUUUCAGCUUGGGGGCCGCCAAAAACUAUGAAAUACAAUUCAAGAGAAACUAAAACAAAUACCAAGA